UGCAAUCUACCUUUCACAGAGGGAUAGCCCAGAGAAAUUUGGAUUAAUACCUCAUAGUAUGCAGAGUUGGCAUCAACACUGCAUUAAAGUCACAACGGUGAAAGAUGAGCAUGCGUCCCAUUAGCUAGUUGGUAAGGUAACGGCUUACCAAGGCAACGAUGGGUAGGGGUCCUGAGAGGGAGAUCC
rnacentral:rRNA from 1 species